GCAGCUCAAUGGUAGAGCAUCUGCUUUGCACACAGAAGCCCCCAAGUUAAACCCCUGGCAUCUCCA